rnacentral:tmRNA from 1 species
GGGGAUGUACUAGGUUUUGAUUAAUAAAGAGCUCAUUAAAAAGCAAGCGGAGCUUAGCUAACUCCUAAAAAGGGCUAAAAAGCAUAAGUGCAAAAGAACAAGCACAAGUUCCCGCUAAAUUAGCAGCAGUUCCUGCUGUCUAAGCGAGACGCCUUUUAAUCUUUUUUUUGGCGAGGGUUAAAAAGGUGUUAUAAAAGCCAAAAUAGAGUAUUGCUUUUGGUUAGUAAGGCGUACUCUAAAAAACUACUAACCACUUUCAUAAGGUUUUAUACCUUAGAUCUUAUUUAGGCUUUUGCCUGAUAAAACGAAAGCUUGUAAACUUUUUAAUGAGAUUUUAUUAACACGGGAGUUCGACUCUCCCCAUCUCCACCA